rnacentral:rRNA from 1 species
AUUGAACGCUGGCGGCAUGCCUUACACAUGCAAGUCGAACGGCAGCACGGGGCAACCUGGUGGCGAGUGGCGAACGGGUGAGUAAUGCAUCGGAACGUACCUUUCAGUGGGGGAUAACGUAGCGAAAGUUACGCUAAUACCGCAUAUUCUGUGAGCAGGAAAGCAGGGGAUCGCAGGACCUUGCGCUGAUUGAGCGGCCGAUGUCAGAUUAGCUAGUUGGUGAGGUAAAGGCUCACCAAGGCGACGAUCUGUAGCGGGUCUGAGAGGAUGAUGCGCCACACUGGAACUGAGACACGGUCCAGACUCCUACGGGAGGCAGCAGUGGGGAAUUUUGGACAAUGGGGGCAACCCUGAUCCAGCCAUGCCGCGUGAGUGAAGAAGGCCUUCGGGUUGUAAAGCUCUUUCGGCCGGGAAGAAAUCGCAUGGGCUAAUACCCUGUGUGGAUGACGGUACCGGAAUAAGAAGCACCGGCUAACUACGUGUCAGCAGCCGCGGUAAUAC